UCAGUAACACGUAGUCAACCUAACUCAUGGAGAGGGAUAAUCUCGGGAAACUGAGGAUAAACCCUCAUAGAUAAUGGUGCCUGGAAUGGCCCAUUGUUGAAACAGUUUACUGCCGUGGGAUGGGACUGCGGCCUAUCAGCUUGUUGGUGAGGUAAUGGCCCACCAAGGCUAUAACAGGUACGGGCUCUGAGAGGAGAAGCCCGGAGAUGGGUACUGAGACACGGACCCAGGCCCUAUGGGGCGCAGCAGGCGAGAAACCUUAGCAAUGUGCGAAAGCACGACUGGGUCAGUCCGAGUGAUUUCUGAUAAAGGAAUCUUUUGCCCGUUGUAAACGCACGGGCGAAUAAGGGUGGGCAAGUCUGGUGCCA
rnacentral:rRNA from 1 species